rnacentral:rRNA from 1 species
UACAGAGGGUGCAAGCGUUAAUCGGAGUAACUGGGCGUAAAGGGCGCGUAGGUGGUUAUAUGAGUGUGAUGUGAAAGCCCCGGGCUUAACCUGGGAAGCGCAUCGCAAACGAUAUAACUGGAGUACAGUAGAGGGUGGCGGAAUUUCCGGUGUAGCGGUGAAAUGCGUAGAGAUCGGAAGGAACGUCAAUGGCGAAGGCAGCCACCUGGACUGAAACUGACACUGAGGCGCGAAAGCGUGGGUAGCGAACAGGAUUAGAUACCCUGGUAGUCCACGCUGUAAACGAUGAAAACUAGAUGUUGUUAGGGGAACCUAUCAGUAUCGAAGCUAACGCGAUAAGUUUUCCGCCUGGGAAGUACGGCCGCAAGGUUGAA